rnacentral:lncRNA from 1 species
UUAAUCAUGCAGGUAUGUGAAUCUUCACUUGGUGUUCCUAAAUGGAAGAGACACUAUCCUUCAUGUUUAUGAUAUUUACAGACCAGCAUUCAAGAGAGGAAAGCAUUUGCACAAAAUUCCCAGAACUGAUGAUUUCCAGAAGUGGGUUCAAAUUUAAAUCUUUACAUGAUUAUGUUAAUCAGGAGAACUACAAACAUCUUAUUUAUCAAUUCAAUAAAAAUCUAAAAAUAUUCUAAUAUUUCCCUCAACAAGUGUGGGACACGCAUGAUGGACGCAGAAGCAUCACACUUCUGUGGUAAGAUAUUGAAUGCUGUUGGGAUUUGCGGUGUUCUGUGGUCAGGCAUCUAGAUUCAGAAU